rnacentral:rRNA from 1 species
UACGUAGGGGCAAGCGUUGUCCGGAUUUAUUGGGCGUAAAGAGCGUGUAGGCGGCUUGGUAGGUCCGCUGUGAAAACUCGAGGCUCAACCUCGAGAUGUCGGCGGAAACCCCCUGGCUAGAGUCCGGAAGAGGAGAGUGGAAUUCCCGGUGUAGCGGUGAAAUGUGUAGAGAUCGGGAGGAACACCGGUGGCGAAGGCGGGUCUCUGGGCAAUUCCUGACGCUGAGGCGCGAAAGCGUGGGGAGCAAACGGG